rnacentral:rRNA from 1 species
UGGGGAAUUUUGGACAAUGGGGGAAACCCUGAUCCAGCCAUCCCGCGUGUGCGAUGAAGGCCUUCGGGUUGUAAAGCACUUUUGGCAGGAAAGAAACGUCAUGGGUUAAUACCCCGUGAAACUGACGGUACCUGCAGAAUAAGCACCGGCUAACUACGUGCCAGCAGCCGCGGUAAUACGUAGGGUGCAAGCGUUAAUCGGAAUUACUGGGCGUAAAGCGUGCGCAGGCGGUUCGGAAAGAAAGAUGUGAAAUCCCAGGGCUCAACUUUGGAACUGCAUUUUUAACUACCGGGCUGGAGUGUGUCAGAGGGAGAUGGAAUUCCGCGUGUAGCAGUGAAAUGCGUAGAUAUGCGGAGGAACACCGAUGGCGAAGGCAGCCUCCUGGGAUAACACUGACGCUCAUGCACGAAAGCGUGGGGAGCAAACAGG